GUUCCUUUUUGGCUUCCAUUGCGUCCGUUAUGAUUUAUUGUUCUUUUGGCCGUCACUUUGGCAUUUAAUUCUUUCCAAACCUGGUUCAUCUUCGCCAUUUUGUCGUAAAGCGCAUGUGGAAUCUUCGAACGAAAACAAGUGUUUCCACAAUUUCAAUUGAAAAUUACCAUUAAAGUUCGCAAGGCAUGUUGGUCUAUGAUAACGAUGGGCCACGUCGAGAACAUUUGAUUUUAGAAUUGAAAACGAAAAUCGCAUGUUAGCUUUUGUUUUGUUUUUUUAUUUGCUUUUUUAUUUUUUUAAUAUAUAUUUUUAUAUCUAUGUUUUAUUUUUUCUUUUUUUUUUAUUUAUUUAUUUUCUUUUUUUCUUUUUAAUUUUGUUCGUGGAAUAUAAUUUUAUUUUAAAAUUAUCUACUCAAUUCACAAUGAUAACAAUGGCCCACCAUACUGAUGUGAUUUAUCUAGGUAUGUCGAAAGCCUUUGAUAAAGUGCAACACUCACCUAUCCUUGACAAACUACGCCAGUACAACAUUUCUGGUAAUCUGUUGAACUGGUUUACAUCCAUCUUCGUGGGCGAAGACAACGUGUUACGGUACAUCGAAAUCAAUGUUAUGCGACAUCGAAAGAACGCAAAGUAACAUCUGGAGUUCCUCAAGUUCCACCAGCCUUGGACCAAUGCUCUUUAUUUUAUAUGUGAACGAUCUGCCCAAGACUGUGAAUACAUCAAAAGUCGCUUGUUUCGCUGAUGAUACUUAGCUGAAUUCUUAACUGAAAGUGGUUUUUAACAGAUUUAUACAGUAGAAUAUUUUAGAACUAUAGCGUAUAUCAUACCUUAGGUCAAAACUCAAAAUUAGUUUUUAGAUAUUUUAGAUAUAGAAUUUCAUAUUUGUAAUUAUAAAAAUCCUGAAAAGCCCAAUUGCGAGUAUCUAAUAUUGUGUAAUAAUAGCAGUAAAACCUGCAAGACACUGCUGGUCUUCAAAACGACAUUAUCAGUCUUAACGGUUGGGCCACAGAUAACGGUUUGACAUUCAACCAAAUUGUAAGUGCCAGCGCAUCACACGGAAGAAAACACCGGUUGAGUAGCCCUACGCCCUGAAUGGAUCAGUACUUGCCGCUGCUAAUCAAGAAAAAGAUCUCGGUGUAUGGGUGUCGAAUGAGUUGUGCUGGAAGAAACAAGUGGUCAAACCAUCUAAAAUGACAUUGAAAAUUGUCUGUUGGUGACGUGAUUUUUUAAUGAGACGCCUGACAAGCUUUUCUUCCCCGGCAUGAUAAUAAUAACAUAAUUGCAUAAUAAAACAAUUAUUGAAUUUGGCUUUCGCAUGAUAUCAAGACCUCGGUCAAUGUUAGCUGCCAAAGGCUGAGGUCUGGAUAAUUCUUGAUAUCAUGCUCAUCCUCGUCCAAUAUGUAAUUGUUAAAUGUCUUUACAAUUGUAUCCCUUUUUGUUUCUGCAUCUUGCUCUCUCUAUUUUACAAAUAGAGCCUGACACAAACCUUGCUAUCCACUGAAGUAUAUAUUUUUAUAAAGUAUCCAAUCAACAUGCCCAGGGAGAAAUGUCAAUUUCAUAUAAAAACAACAAUCUAAUUAAAGUUACAACUGCUAAAUAUAUAAUAUUAGUAUCAUAAUUGUAUUAUAUAAUUAGGAAUAACCAAUAAAAAAGAUACAUUAAAUAUGGCCCGAUAUAGUUGUGCUAAAAAUAGCCAGUCAGAGCUUCAUCCAAAAUUUUGCACCUAUAUAAUAUGUCAGUUUGGAUAACUCCUGGGGUUUUUUUUAUUUCUGUAGAUAUACCUAAUGAAUCAACUCAAACCGGUGCCUUUGUUUUGGCAGCCAGUUGGGACCACAACAAUGGUAUCUUUUCCGGGUACAAGAGCUUCGAUAGCAUCAAAUUGUCCUGGUCUAAAUUUUUGAUGCCCAAAUACAUUUUUUUAAAUUUCUAGACUUGUCAUAUUAUUUGAAAAGCUCUGGUUUGCAGCACCGUCCAUUGAAAUUCUUUCUGGAGUUGUAGUCAAUGUUCCACUUUCAACAGUUUCUCAGCGACUUUGGUAGCAACAGUAAUGGCAUCAUUGGAACAAUUAAUAUCUUUGCCAAAUGACACUUUGUAUUCUGUGUAAAUUAGUUCAUGCUAGAUUGACACAUCAUCCAUGGAAUUAUUCUGUAGAAUAAUUAAGAUAUGUAUAUUACCAUAGUCACUACUAUAGGUUAACCUGACAAUUAUAAUGAUAAAUCUAAUUAAUUAUUAUUAGUAGUAGUAUUAUUGUUAUUUCUUGUUUUAAAAUUUCAAAGUAAAAGUUUUGAACCCAUGAUAAGUACAUCAAAUAAACAGACAGACAUAUAAAGUACAAGUGGCAGGGUUACCGCAACAGAAUUUAUACUCCCAAUUACUGGGGACCCUGUUUGAUAAGAUAAGCUACCAGAGUCCAGUGCAUGUAAACAUAUUCAUACAAACAUGACAAACCCUGGGUGGUAAUGGAUAUUAAUUAUGCUACCAAGAAGGCAACAACCUUGCAACAACUAGGUUCAUCCAAGAGUUGCAAAUUAUUAAAAGUACACACAAAUCUUGUUAGGAAUUGGAAUCUAUUCCAAAUCCAAUGCAUAUACACCGGGGAAUGGACAUAGCAAUG